UUUUUUUGAUUUUUUUAAUUUUUUUCAAAAUAAUCGCAUCAAGAUCUCCGACAACGGUGUCAAAAUUUGAUGCGUGUCGUAGCAUAUCAAAAUUAAUCCUACUUACUACUAUGUAGAUAGGAUGAGUCAAGAUCAUAUCCACAGGAAUUUUAGUUGAUUGUUUCGAAAACGUAAAAAAAAAGAAUAAUAGAUUGUAAGAAACUAAGAAUGAAAUAUG
rnacentral:lncRNA from 1 species